CUGAGGCCACCAAAUUGGUCCGCCUCUAUGCCUUGGCUGUGCCUCGAAAUUCUGUCCAUAAAAGUUAUGAACAGAAUCGGUGACAAAGGGCAGCCUUGGCGGAGUCCAACCCUCACCUGAAACAUUUAUUGCUGGCAAUGCGGCCCAAACCUUGAGACUGGUCGUACAUGGACCGAACAUCCCGUAUCAUUGGGUUCGGUACCCCAUUCUCCAAAGGACGCCUUCUCCAAGUCCAUAAAACACAUGUAGACUGGUUGGGCGAACUCCCCCUUGAGUACCCUGCCGAGGGUGUAGAGCUGGUCCACAGUUCCAUGGCUAGGACGAAAACCACACUGCUCCUCCUGAAUCCGAGAUUAGACUCUCCUCUCCAGCACCCCUGAAUAGACCUUACCAGGGAGGCUGAGGAGUGGGAUCCACCUAUAGUUGGAUCACACCCUCCGGUCCUCCUCUUUAUAAAGGGGGACCAUCACCCCAGUCUACCAAUCCAGAGGGACUGUCCCUGAUAUCCACGCGAUGUCGCAGAGCUCCGUCAACCAGGACAGCCCCACAACAUCUAGAGCCUUUAUGAACUCCAGGCGAAUCUCAUCAACCCCUGGGACCUUGCAACUGAGGAGUUUUUUUAACCACAUCGGUGACCUCAACCCCAGAGAUAGGAGACUCCGCCUCAGAGAUCCUAGACUCUGCUUCCUCAUGGGAAGGUGUCUCAGUGGAAUUGAGGAGUUCUUCCAAGUAUUCUCCCCACCGACUCACAACAUCUCCAGUCGAGGUCAGCAGUGCCCCAUCCCUACUAUACACAGUGUUGAUGGUGCACUGCUUCCCCCUCCUGAGACGCCGGAUGUUAGACCAGGAUUUCCUGAAGCCGUCCGGAGGUCUUUCUUCAUGGCCUCACCGAACUCCUUCCAUGCCAGAGUCUUUGCCUCAGCGACAAUCCAAGCUGCAUUCCACUUGGCCAGCCGGUACCCAUCAGCUGCCUCGGGACUGCCACAAGCCAAAAAGGCCCAACAGGACACCUUCUUCAGCUUGACGGCAUCCCUCACCAUUGGUGUUCACCAAUGGGUUCGUGGGUUGCCGCCAUGACAGGUGCCAACCACCUUACGGCCACAGCUCCGGUCAGCCGCCUCAGCAAUCAAGGUGUGGAACAUAGUCCACUCAGACUCAAGUUCUGUUGAACUCCUUCUGACAGGGAAUUCUGCCAGAUGUUCACAGCAGACCCUCACAGUAUGUUUGGGCCUGCCAGGUCAGACUGGCAUCUUCUCCCACCAUCGGCGCCACCAGGUGGUGAUCAGUUGACAGUAGAUGACACGACCACAAAGUCGAACUGCGGCCUAGGUUCUUCUGGUGCCAAGUGCACAUAUGGACAGCCUUAUGCUUGAACAUGAUGUUUGUUAUGGACAAUCCAUGAUGAGCACAGAAGUCCAAGUUUUAACCCUUGUUUAACAAUUAAUUUUGCCUGUAAAAAAAAUAAAUAAAAAAUCUGAUUCGGUGGUAGAAAAUUGCUCGACUAUCUCCUAAUGCAGUUGAUAAUUGAUGUGGUAAAAGAUCCAACGUUCUUAGUAGUGCAUUUGAUAAACUUACUUUCAACUUACGGUCCUAUCCACACCAUGCACUCCCGGAGUUAGAAGUGUGGGGGUAAUGUAUGAAUUGGUAACAGUGCUUUAACAGUCAACAUUCUUUCUGUGCAAUAAUAGAGGGGUGUUCCGUCAAAUGUGGCUAUUUCAUGCCCACAGCUUUGGGCUAUAGGUGGUUUCUUAGAAACAGGGCGGCGUUUCUCUCUGUGAACCCAGCCACCCAACCAGAUAAUUUUGGCAACGAUAGUGCCAAGACCUAGACCGAUUCCAGCAUGAAAUACAGCGAGCUCUCUUGUUUACAUUCACCAUCACAAGCCAUGGCUUCUGCUAAAAGCUGAUAGAUUCCUCCCACUGACCCGAUGUCAACCCCCAUGUCUCCUGUCCUGAUUUUCCCCGACAUGCCCUGGGGAUGGCCACACAUGACUCUUUGAAGUUAUUGUUUUAAAACCCUUUGAAGCGCCAGAUUUUAUAGCAUGGUGAUACUUUUGUUUUAUAACCCUUUGAAGUGCCAAGUUUUAUUGUUUUUCAACACUUUCAAGUACCGUUUGUAUUGCUUUAUGCCUUAUGACCGCUAGAGAAACCCAUGACGUCACGUGAUCAACACAAGCCAAUAAAUGUCAAAGAGUAUAAACUACCAGACUAUUGUUUUAUUAGUCAUUUAGAACUGCUGUUAAUAGCGAGAGGACUUGGCAUCAUUUGCAGAAUUGUCAAAAAAAAAAAAAAAAAAGUAUUGCCAUGACCGAAUUACUGGUAACCUCUUAUUGCUCAGUGACUUUGUUUUGAUGUUUUUAUGUCUCAAAAGUAUUUACUGUCAAUUGACUGUCUAUUGUCGUACUAGAGCUGCUCCAACUACCGGAAACAAAUUCCUCGUGUGUUUUUGACAAACUUGGCAAAUAAAGAUGAUUCUGAUUCUGAAGGUUGAAGCCAUAACCAUACAUACAUCUGUUUACUGAAUUUCACAAAGAUGCAACUUACACAAUGUUAAAACUGUAAUACGCUCUCUAAAACGUGCGUGAAAAAAUUUCCAUGCUUUCCUUGACUUGCCCUAACACAAGGACAAUUGUCAUGGGUCACUAAAGUGCAGUAUUAUUUUAUAUCGUUUAGCAAAGUCACAGCCUACCUUGGGGUUAAAAAAAAAAAAAAAAAAAAAAAAAAAAAGCUUACUUAGCCAAGUGUGUGAGCUGGGGAGAAGAGUGCUGCAUUUCACCGGUCUGUCUGUGAGGAUUGAGUUUGUGUGUGUGUGGGUGAGGGGGAAGCCAGGAACUUGCAGAGUGGAGCACAGACUCUCAGGAGCAGCACAAGAGAAUUUUCACCCAGCAAAUAGAUUAAUACAUGGGUUAUAUAUUGACUGAUGUUGAUAUAUUAUUGAUACGCUAAAAUUGGCACAAUUAAUCAGUCUGACAAUUUAUUGGUCUGGCUCUACGAGAAAUGCCCCAUCUUUCCCAACAGAUCGUCAGGUUACAACAAUGUCCCGACAAAGAUUAUCUCACACCAUGGGUAAAGUGGCCACUAAGGAGCCAUUUGUUCAUAGGUGACUGACCCAUCGUUAUGAAAAAUGGUCAUUUAGCCACACCUGGCAAACAGCAACGACCAACACCAUAUAACCAACCCCAAGGAAAACAACCACCAGAGACAUAAUAAGGGGAACUAGACACCUUAAAUUUAAUAACUAAUGAAGCCCUGUGGAUUAAAAUUAUAUUUCUUCAACAACCGGUGCAGUGCCUCAAUUCAGCUUUUGCAGAUUUUGUUUGCUUGUGAACAUUCAUCCAUCCAUUUUCCAUACCACUUAUCCUGACUAGGGUAACAAAUAGAUGAAAUCAUAUGUGCUGAUUGUUAAUUUAAAAUGAGAUUGAAGACAUAGAUACUCACGUCAUAACUUCUUUUAGAGACUCAAUUGCAUUCUCCAGUUUCAUCUUGUCUGGGUUCUCAUCUGAUGUGUGCUUCUUUAUGUCUGCAAUGGUUACAAAACAGUAAUAUAAAGAGACGUCAAGGGAAAAUUGACGAGAGACAUAAUUUGUUUCAGAUACCAUUAAUCCUUUUUCUACCACUUGUGUUCAGGGCCACCGGUUGAGAUGGAGCAAGGUACAUUACUGUAUAGACAACCAACAAUUCAUAGUCCCACCUGUGGCUAAUUUAGAGUCUUCAAUGGGCUCUUUUCACAUACAUGUCAUACGGUAAAACCUUUUCCGGUUUUUGCUCCACAUGAAACAGCAAAGUAUGAGUCUUACAAAAGUUUUUUUUUUCUCCAAAACCAGAGCUGCCAACCUAUAAAAAUUCACUUCCAGAAUAAUGUACAAACCUUUCUGAAUUUUCAUAUUUAAAUUUUUUUAUCAAGAACAUUACAGUGGGACAGUCAUAAUCAUAAUUGUUAAUAAAUUUUGGCUUCAAUAUUUUUAAAUGUAACGUUUUUAUUGCAUCAACCUUGUAAUGGUGGACGCAGUUGCAGCCUGAAUCAAAGUACCAGUAUAUGAGAUUUCUAUGUGCCAUCAUCAAAACAUAUCUAUGGAUUAAUUUGCCUUUGCCAAUUUUGUUUUCAACCCUGAUAACAAAAAAAGCAAGUCCAUUAAAUAAGAUUGAUCACAUCUCAAACGUCAAAACUAAAACUCAGCACUCUAUUUUGCAAACAAACAAUUAGGGAUGUCCGAAUAAAAAAUUUUUGCACCCAAGUCCAAGGCUUUGAUUUUAAGGAUCUGCAGAUACAGUCUCUCUGGACAAUGCAUUAAAAAAGAGCAUGCAAAUUAAUAUAUGUACUAUUAGAAUUAGGCAAAUAUUCUAGCUAAAGAAAAAUUGAUAUAAUAUUCCUGUCACGGGUGUGUGUUCCGGUUGUUGUUUUCCCCGUCUCGUACACACCUGCUCCUGAGAGCAUCUUCACCACCUGUGCCCGUUCACCCUAAUUACCCCUUGCAUUUAACCUCGUGUCUCAUUCUUUCUAGUUGCCAGUUCGUUGUACCUUGUCAUCGCAUUCCAGCAUUCCUUGUUUCCACGUCAUCGACUCACAGUAUGACUAGACCCUGUUCCGUUUACCGACCUGGGCUUUUUGCCUGACGUUUUGUAUACUGUUGCCUUUUUUGGAUUGCCUGCCUGUGUACCGACCUCUACCCAUAUAUAAAACCUCUCUUUUUGAAACUGUCCAUUUGUUUUGGAGUCGUGCAUUUUUGGGUCCUAUCCUCUGUUCCGUUCAUGACAAUUCCAGUUAAUCAAAAAACCAUAACAGCUAACAUUGUGUGCAAGAAAGGGAAGUACUCUUAUAUGAUUUGGGCCAUCAACACAGAUAUUGUAUGUUUGUAUAUGCUGCCAAGUGUAUUUUUAUCUCGUUUGUCCAGAAGGGUGGAAGUUGCAGGAUGUUUCGAGAUGAUGCAAGAAGCGGCUCGGGUGGUAGCUGACGGACCGAAAAACAAGUCAGGUUCUUGGCACACCAGCGAAAGAGAACCUGCGCCAUCCACUCUUGGGUGGGGCCUAUCACCAGGAACCAGAUGGGGCGUGGACACACCAGCAACAUCCAGACGUGUCUCAGCAUGAACUAUAAAUGUCAGUGCCGAGAGGGAGAGGUGCUUUUUUCCUGUCUACUAGUGACGGGACUUUCAGAGAGGGGAAAACGGCCCCAGAAUUCCGUGUGUGAUCUUGUAAUCUUGUUGAGUUCUGGACAUAAAUACGGAUAAAAUUGCAA